ACGCUGGCGGCAGGCCUAACACAUGCAAGUCGAGCGGUAGAGAGAAGCUUGCUUCUCUUGAGAGCGGCGGACGGGUGAGUAAUGCCUAGGAAUCUGCCUGGUAGUGGGGGAUAACGUUCGGAAACGGACGCUAAUACCGCAUACGUCCUACGGGAGAAAGCAGGGGACCUUCGGGCCUUGCGCUAUCAGAUGAGCCUAGGUCGGAUUAGCUAGUUGGUGGGGUAAUGGCUCACCAAGGCGACGAUCCGUAACUGGUCUGAGAGGAUGAUCAGUCACACUGGAACUGAGACACGGUCCAGACUCCUACGGGAGGCAGCAGUGGGGAAUAUUGGACAAUGGGCGAAAGCCUGAUCCAGCCAUGCCGCGUGUGUGAAGAAGGUCUUCGGAUUGUAAAGCACUUUAAGUUGGGAGGAAGGGCAGUUGCCUAAUACGUAACUGUUUUGACGUUACCGACAGAAUAAGCACCGGCUAACUCUGUGCCAGCAGCCGCGGUAAUACAGAGGGUGCAAGCGUUAAUCGGAAUUACUGGGCGUAAAGCGCGCGUAGGUGGUUUGUUAAGUUGGAUGUGAAAUCCCCGGGCUCAACCUGGGAACUGCAUUCAAAACUGACUGACUAGAGUAUGGUAGAGGGGUGGUGGAAUUUCCUGUGUAGCGGUGAAAUGCGUAGAUAUAGGAAGGAACACCAGUGGCGAAGGCGACCACCUGGACUGAUACUGACACUGAGGUGCGAAAGCGUGGGGAGCAAAC
rnacentral:rRNA from 1 species